CCUGCCUGAAUGACCGGGACAACACCGGGAAACUGGUGCUAAUACCGGAUAAGCUCUUGAGUGCACAAGCACACAAGAGGAAAGGAUUUAACUUUCGCAUUCAGAUGGGUCCGCGUCCCAUUAGCUAGUUGGUGGUGUAAAGGGCCACCAAGGCGACGAUGGGUAGCCGGCCUGAGAGGGUGGGCGGCCACACUGGAACUGAGACACGGUCCAGACUCCUACGGGAGGCAGCAGUGGGGAAUCUUCCGCAAUGGGCGCAAGCCUGACGGAGCAACGCCGCGUGAAUGAAGAAGGCCUUCGGGUUGUAAAAUUCUGUCUUUGGGGAAGAAAAAAAUGACGGUACCCAAGGAGGAAGCCCCGGCUAACUACGUGCCAGCAGCCGCGGUAAAACGUAGGGGGCAAGCGUUGUCCGGAAUUACUGGGCGUAAAGGGCGUGUAGGCGGUCACUUAAGUCAGGGGUGAAAACUGUGGGCUCAAGCCACAGCCUGCCUUUGAAACUGGGUGGCUUGAGGACAGGAGAGGGGAGUGGAUUCCCAGUGUAGCGGUGAAAUGCGUAGAUAUUGGGAGGAACACCAGUGGCGAAGGCGGCUCUCUGGCCUGUUUCUGACGCUGAGACGCGAAAGCGUGGGUAGCGAACGGGAUUAAAUACCCCGGUAGUCAGGCCGUAAACGAUGGGUGCUA
rnacentral:rRNA from 1 species